rnacentral:antisense_RNA from 1 species
CCUUGCCACUCUCGCUAGAAGGCACGACAUUGCUCACAUUGCUUCCAGUGUUACUUAGCCAGCUCGGGUGCUGGCUUUUUUUU